GUUAAGAAAGAAAAUGAGAGGCAAAGCAAGGGGUGAAGCUGCUAUGAAGUCUGCUAGACAAGCACCCAAGAACCCACGGAAGAACAAUAAUAAGAAGGCAAAUAAUGCAGAAUCUGUUGCAGAAGCUGUCUCGUCAUCUGUGGCUGCAAGGGAAAUUGAGAAAGCUCCUGAGGCAGCAAAACCCAAAGACAGAGCAGGCUCUAGGAAAGCUCCUGCCAUGGAGACUGAAGUGCCCAAAGUACCAGCCAAGAAGAAAGAACCUAGCAAAAGGGCUGCUGCUGCACAGAAGAAGAAGCCCUUGGCAACUGUUUCGGAGAUAUCUGAUGAUGAUGAUGAUGAUUAAACUGGCUUUAAUGACAUUGAUGAUGAUGAUGAUGAUGAUGAUGAUGAAGAUAGUGAGAUAGAAGUUGUAGCUACUCCAGAAGCGAGGAAAAAGGGCGGGGAAAACUGGCUGCAAAUGCUAAGGCAGUUAAGGCCCCUGCAGCGGCAAAGAAGAGAGGUGCAGCGAAUAAGCAGCAGCCUCAGACAUUGGCCCAGAAGCUUUUAACUGACAUGUUAAAGCCUGCUGAAAAUUCCAGGAUUUCACUGGAGAAGAAAGUGAGAAACAUGAGGGCAUCUCCAUUCAACAAGAAAAGUGGUUCUGUGUUGGGAAGGGUUGGUAAAGUAAAUCAAGUGACUGAAAAUGAAGAAAAUUCGGGUUCUGCUUCUACUUCUGCCAGUACUGAAGAAACUAUUGAAGUUGCACCAGCAAGAGCAAGACCUCAAAGGGUGAACCAAGUUAGAAAACAAGAAAGAGUAUGACAGAAUAUGAUCCGCGUCUUGUGGCUCCAACCUGGUUGUACCUGGCAUCAAAAGCAGCAGAAAGCACAGUGCAGGUUGGGCUUCUUGUAUUUUACCUUAAAAAAUUAUAUGCUGAUGAAAAGUAUGACUCAAUUAACUUGGUGCUAUGGGCCAGGUAGUUGCCCAUCAAAGAGGGUCGCAUGGGCUAGAGAAUUGAUAGACGAAGAAGCAGAACAGUUCCUCAUGCCUCGUUUCAUUGACCCAGAUUCAGAAAGACCUUGGCUUGCCCAAAGAAUGGCCUUGAGGAUACCAUAUUCUGCGUAAACUUAAUGGAAGGAGACCUGCUUAUGCUUCCCAGCAACUAAUAUAAGAGCUGCAUAAUACGUUUUAUUUUUAAGUCUUUGAUUGGUCAAGUUAUGAGAGAAUAGCAUGGUGCCUUUUGAUGUAUGAACUUCCUCUAUACAUUGUUUGGCUUAUAUUUUGUGAACUUGUCCGAUCAACUUGUGUUAAGAUUCUUUCAAAUAGUGUUUGAAAAUUUCCAGACUUCAUUUUCAGCAAUUCGUGACUGAUGGUUUUGUACAAGCAAGAUGGUUUAUCUAAGUGUUUGAAAAACCAGUUUUAAUUUUUAGUCACAAGCAGUGAGCAUUUUAUAGUUGGGAAUAAUAGGUCUCAUGUUGACCGCCAUGAAGAUCAAAACUAUAAACACAUGGGUUAUGACU